GGAGAGGUGGCCGAGUGGCUGAAGGCAGUGGUUUGCUAAACCGCCGUACGGACUAAUCUCUGUACCGGGGGUUCGAAUCCCCCCCUCUCCGCCA
rnacentral:tRNA from 1 species